rnacentral:lncRNA from 1 species
AUGGGAGAUGCACGACAAUUGCAAGUAAAUGGAAAAGGGAAGGCCAAGAAUGAUUAUAACAGUUGGAAUAUGGAAGAGAGCAAGAUGUUGUUACAACUCAUGGUCGAUGCUGUGUCUCAUGGAUGGCGGAAUCCUAAUGGCGUGCUAAACAAGGCAACUGUAGAAGCUAAAAUACUUCCAAAGAUUAAUGAAAAACUUAAGUGUCAAAAAAGUUAUUCUCAUUACCAGAGUCGGUUGAAAUACUUUAAGAAAAAAUAUCGAAAGUAUACCCAACUUGUCCAUCAUUGCUCUAGGUUUGAGUGGGACCCAAUCAGAAAGAAAUUCAUUGGUGAUGAAAAACUUUGGGAAGAUUACUUUAAGGUGCACUUCUUAACUCUUCUUUAAAUAUAUUAUAUUUGGUAAUUUGAGUACAUAUUACUUCCUUUCUUAAAUAAUAAUUAUUUUCUUGUUUCAUUUACAGUCCUAUCCGAGCCACAUAGGCCUUCGCACAGAAACUUGUGAGGACUAUGAGGAAUUGCAAAUUUUAUUUGGGAAUGAAAUUGCUAUUGAGAGAAACUCGUUAGAAUUGGAUGAUGAUAUUGAUGCAAGAUUUGAUUGGGUCGAAGAUAGACAUGUUAGAAAAGAGGAGUUUGUUUAUGAUGAUGGUAAUAAGGCUUUUCUACCAAAUGAAAAGGAACCAUCACACCAAGAUCCAUCACCUGGACAAUCUUCAUCACCCUUACUCUUUCAUGCCACUAGUCCGAAAGUUCCCUCAGAAAGCAUCAACCAGAAGAAACGAACUAGAGCUGAGUAUGAAGGGAAUACUACCUCAUUUGAGACCACCAAUCAAGCUGGAAUACUGGAAAAACUUUCUCUUAGCAUUGAUUCAAUUGCUACCAACUUUCAGAGAAUCUGUAACCUAUUGGAGAAAAGGGAGAAAGAUAGAGAGAAAAGGAAAAGAGAGAACCAAAGUUGUAUCUGGGAUGCUAUUAAGGAGACCCCAAAUUUAGAUGAACGUGCUCGUUAUAAAGCAGUUGCAUUGCUUAAUACUAAAACAAGAAGGGAUGUAUUUUUUAGUAUGUCACUUGAAGAGCGCUCAGAUUGGAUAACCUACCUUUUGAAAUGA